GUACAAUCGGAUCUUUGCGUCUAUGGCCAGCUUUAAAUGAGCAUUAUUUCAUGCAGGACUUUUUUUGUCGCAGCGAAAUCUUCACAGCAAACUCUUGCCGCAGUUUUGCAAAAAAUAUUUGCAGAUGGCGAAAUGCAGAAUUUCUGUGCGAAUCCAUGGCUGGUGAAAAGAUUCAUCACUCAGGACUAUACUGCCUGGACUUUGGGACUACAUUGAUAUCGUGUACCUAAAUCUGGUGGCAGGCACUCGAAUAAAGGUGAUCUUCCAACAAA